rnacentral:snoRNA from 1 species
GUGCCAAAAGCUUCAUAAGUCAGUGAUGGCUCUUGUAGCCUGAACUGUUGGGAGCCUUUUGGAAGAGCAAAGACCACGACUCCACUAUGGACUGCACAGUUGUAGUUCAUAACUAACAAUGUGGCUGACAAA